rnacentral:lncRNA from 1 species
CAACAGAGAGCCUUAACUUGUGGCUUUACCCUUCCAGCUAGAUGCAUAUAUAGUCCCUCUUGACUUUAGUGAGAAUCCCCCUCCUCAGCCUACUGACCACGUGGAAAGGUUUGUCUGAGAUCCUCAGCCAGUGGGGUAGAAUCUGUAUCCACUCUGGCUUUUCUUACCAGUGCCUAGUCCCAUGGGUAUUGCUCUUGCAUUGACAGAAUUCUCAGAACAACCUCAUUUGAAACUUGACCUUCAGUGCAUCUCUGCCCAGGAGCCUCAAAGUUGUGUUCCUGUCUCCUCCCUAGAGAGUGACUUUCUUAGGCCCCCUAAUACUUGACUUAGAUCUGGUUUGGGCCGAGGAAGUUUAUCAGGACCAGGUCUUUGGGCUGUUGGU